GCCAGGGCUUGUGAGAGGGCUCGAGGAGACCAGUAGUUCCAGAGACACGCUGGAUCACAACUGUCCGCAUCUGACAGUUCUUGGAGAGCUGAAGACCGUUGAUCAGGUUGAGGGCUGACACAGGGCACCUCGGAACGCGCUGUCCGGGCAUCAUGUGGCCACCACUGGUGUUGCUGUUCCUGCUACUUCCUGCGGCCCAUGGCGCCCCUCACCCGGCUGUCGACCUCCAGGAAAGCUUUCCAAGCGUACUCGAAGAAAUCCCCACUGAAGGAGAAAGAGGCUUGUGGAGGGAAGACAACCCGUUUGCUGGCCCCCGCUGUCCGCCUGCCUCAUGAGGUGCCCGCUGUGUGGUCCAGAAGCUGGGGAGGAGGACCUGUGGCCUCAUGAGGGCCUACCAGUCACAGGAUUGGGGGCUCCCCACUCCUGUUCCCAAGACCCACUUCUUGUCCUCUCCAGGGCCCUUCAGCUGCUGGAUGGGUUGGGGGUGGACACCAGUAUCCUCGCGGGGACAGACGCGGACCUCACCAGACCCACCUGCAGCAUCAUUUAAAAAUAAAAGUUAUUUCCUCAA